rnacentral:rRNA from 1 species
UACGUAGGGUGCGAGCGUUAAUCGGAAUUACUGGGCGUAAAGUGUGCGCAGGCGGCCGCGCAAGUCGAGUGUGAAAGCCCCGGGCUUAACUUGGGAAUUGCGCUCGAAACUACGUGGCUGGAGUGUGGCAGAGGAAGGUGGAAUUCCAGGUGUAGCGGUGAAAUGCGUAGAGAUCUGGAGGAACACCGAUGGCGAAGGCAGCCUUCUUGGCCAACACUGACGCUCAUGCACGAAAGCGUGGGGAGCAAACAGG